rnacentral:rRNA from 1 species
GAUGAACGCUGGCGGCGUGCCUAAUACAUGCAAGUCGAGCGAACAGACGAGGAGCUUGCUCCUUUGACGUUAGCGGCGGACGGGUGAGUAACACGUGGAUAACCUACCUAUAAGACUGGGAUAACUUCGGGAAACCGGAGCUAAUACCGGAUAACAUGUUGAACCGCAUGGUUCAACGGUGAAAGACGGUCUUGCUGUCACUUAUAGAUGGAUCCGCGCCGCAUUAGCUAGUUGGUAAGGUAACGGCUUACCAAGGCAACGAUGCGUAGCCGACCUGAGAGGGUGAUCGGCCACACUGGAACUGAGACACGGUCCAGACUCCUACGGGAGGCAGCAGUAGGGAAUCUUCCGCAAUGGGCGAAAGCCUGACGGAGCAACGCCGCGUGAGUGAAGAAGGUCUUCGGAUCGUAAAACUCUGUUAUUAGGGAAGAACAAAUGUGUAAGUAACUAUGCACGUCUUGACGGUACCUAAUCAGAAAGCCACGGCUAACUACGUG